AUAAGCGGAGGAAAGGAAACUAACAAGGAUUCCCCUAGUAACGGCGAGUGAAGAGGGAAAAGCUCAAAUUUUGAAUCUGGUGUCUUUGAUUCCCGAGUUGUAAUCUAGAGAAGUGUUUUCCGCGUCGGACCGUGCACAAGUUCCCUGGAACGGGGCGUCAUAGAGGGUGAGAAUCCCGUAUAUGGCACGGACCGCCGAUGCUCUGUGAUACACUCUCAACGAGUCGAGUUGUUUGGGAAUGCAGCUCAAAAUGGGUGGUAAAUUCCAUCUAAAGCUAAAUAUUGGCGAGAGACCGAUAGCGAACAAGUACCGUGAGGGAAAGAUGAAAAGCACUUUGGAAAGAGAGUGAAACAGUACGUGAAAUUGUUGAAAGGGAAGCGUUUGAAGUCAGUCGUAUCUGGCGGGAUUCAGCCUGGCUUUUGCCUGGUGUACUUCCCGUCCGAUGGGUCAGCAUCAAUUUCGAUCGAGGGAAAAAGGCGUGGGGAAUGUGGCUGUCUUCGGGCAGUGUUAUAGCCCUGCGUUGUAUGCCUCGGUUGGGAUUGAGGAACGCAGCGCGCCUAUAGGCCAGGGGCUACCCGCCUCUUGACACGCGCU
rnacentral:rRNA from 1 species